AUUGAACGCUGGCGGCAGGCCUAACACAUGCAAGUCGAGCGGAGCGGCGGACGGGUGAGUAAUGCCUAGGAAUCUGCCUGGUAGUGGGGGAUAACGUCCGGAAACGGGCGCUAAUACCGCAUACUAUCAGAUGAGCCUAGGUCGGAUUAGCUAUUUGGUGGGGUAAAGGCCUACCAAGGCGACGAUCCGUAACUGGUCUGAGAGGAUGAUCAGCCACACUGGGACUGGGACACGGCCCAGAAUCCGACGGGAGGAAGCAGUGGGGAAUAUUGCACAAUGGGCGCAAGCCUGAUGCAGCCAUGCCGCGUGGGGGAUGAAGGCUUUCGGGUUGUAAACCUCUUUCGCUAUCGAACGGGUAGGUGGAGAAGAAGCGCCGGCUAACUACGUGCCAGCCGCCGCGGUAAUAC
rnacentral:rRNA from 1 species